rnacentral:misc_RNA from 1 species
AGUAGUCGUUUCUGCUUCAUUAUUACUUGAGAUCGUUAUUGGAGUGCAUAACUGAGCAACAAAUGGGUCGAAGAUUGGAACCCUGUACAGAAGCCGCUCCUCUUCGUUCUCCUCAUGACAUAUCUCAUCUGAGCCUACUUCAGGCACAAGCGGAAUGGUAUUCCUUAAUUUUUGUUCGAAUUUUGAACGAGAUGCAGGCUUUCCAUAUCGCGGUGUCCUGGCCUUUCUUGU